GGGUUGUGAGGUUAAGCGACUAAGCGUACACGGUGGAUGCCCUGGCAGUCAGAGGCGAUGAAGGACGUGCUAAUCUGCGAUAAGCGUCGGUAAGGUGAUAUGAACCGUUAUAACCGGCGAUUUCCGAAUGGGGAAACCCAGUGUGAUUCGUCACACUAUCAUUAACUGAAUCCAUAGGUUAAUGAGGCGAACCGGGGGAACUGAAACAUCUAAGUACCCCGAGGAAAAGAAAUCAACCGAGAUUCCCCCAGUAGCGGCGAGCGAACGGGGAGCAGCCCAGAGCCUGAAUCAGUGUGUGUGUUAGUGGAAGCGUCUGGAAAGGCGUGCGAUACAGGGUGACAGCCCCGUACACAAAAAUGCACAUACUGUGAGCUCGAUGAGUAGGGCGGGACACGUGGUAUCCUGUCUGAAUAUGGGGGGACCAUCCUCCAAGGCUAAAUACUCCUGACUGACCGAUAGUGAACCAGUACCGUGAGGGAAAGGCGAAAAGAACCCCGGCGAGGGGAGUGAAAAAGAACCUGAAACCGUGUACGUACAAGCAGUGGGAGCACGCUUAGGCGUGUGACUGCGUACCUUUUGUAUAAUGGGUCAGCGACUUAUAUUCUGUAGCAAGGUUAACCGAAUAGGGGAGCCGAAGGGAAACCGAGUCUUAACUGGGCGUUAAGUUGCAGGGUAUAGACCCGAAACCCGGUGAUCUAGCCAUGGGCAGGUUGAAGGUUGGGUAACACUAACUGGAGGACCGAACCGACUAAUGUUGAAAAAUUAGCGGAUGACUUGUGGCUGGGGGUGAAAGGCCAAUCAAACCGGGAGAUAGCUGGUUCUCCCCGAAAGCUAUUUAGGUAGCGCCUCGUGAAUUCAUCUCCGGGGGUAGAGCACUGUUUCGGCAAGGGGGUCAUCCCGACUUACCAACCCGAUGCAAACUGCGAAUACCGGAGAAUGUUAUUACGGGAGACACACGGCGGGUGCUAA
rnacentral:rRNA from 1 species